rnacentral:rRNA from 1 species
CAGUCGAGCGGACAGAAGGGAGCUUGCUCCCGGAUGUUAGCGGCGGACGGGUGAGUAACACGUGGGUAACCUGCCUGUAAGACUGGGAUAACUCCGGGAAACCGGAGCUAAUACCGGAUAGUUCCUUGAACCGCAUGGUUCAAGGAUGAAAGACGGUUUCGGCUGUCACUUACAGAUGGACCCGCGGCGCAUUAGCUAGUUGGUGGGGUAAUGGCUCACCAAGGCGACGAUGCGUAGCCGACCUGAGAGGGUGAUCGGCCACACUGGGACUGAGACACGGCCCAGACUCCUACGGGAGGCAGCAGUAGGGAAUCUUCCGCAAUGGACGAAAGUCUGACGGAGCAACGCCGCGUGAGUGAUGAAGGUUUUCGGAUCGUAAAGCUCUGUUGUUAGGGAAGAACAAGUGCGAGAGUAACUGCUCGCACCUUGACGGUACCUAACCAGAAAGCCACGGCUAACUACGUGCCAGCAGCCGCGGUAAUACGUAGGUGGCAAGCGUUGUCCGGAAUUAUUGGGCGUAAAGGGCUCGCAGGCGGUUUCUUAAGUCUGAUGUGAAAGCCCCCGGCUCAACCGGGGAGGGUCAUUGGAAACUGGGAAACUUGAGUGCAGAAGAGGAGAGUGGAAUUCCACGUGUAGCGGUGAAAUGCGUAGAGAUGUGGAGGAACACCAGUGGCGAAGGCGACUCUCUGGUCUGUAACUGACGCUGAGGAGCGAAAGCGUGGGGAGCGAACAGGAUUAGAUACCCUGGUAGUCCACGCCGUAAACGAUGAGUGCUAAGUGUUAGGGGUUUCCGCCCCUUAGUGCUGCAGCUAACGCAUUAAGCACUCCGCCUGGGGAGUACGGUCGCAAGACUGAAACUCAAAGGAAUUUGACGGGGGCCCGCACAAGCGGUGGAGCAUGUGGUUUAAUUUCGAAGCAACGCGAAGAACCUUACCAGGUCUUGACAUCCUCUGACACCCUAGAAGAAUAGGCUUUCCCUUUCGGGGACAGAGUGACAGGUGGUGCAUGCUGGUCGUCAGCUCGUGUCGUGA